rnacentral:rRNA from 1 species
AGUGAACGCUGGCGGUAGGCCUAACACAUGCAAGUCGAACGGCAGCACAGUAAGAGCUUGCUCUUACGGGUGGCGAGUGGCGGACGGGUGAGGAAUACAUCGGAAUCUACUUUUUCGUGGGGGAUAACGUAGGGAAACUUACGCUAAUACCGCAUACGACCUACGGGUGAAAGCAGGGGAUCUUCGGACCUUGCGCGAUUGAAUGAGCCGAUGUCGGAUUAGCUAGUUGGCGGGGUAAAGGCCCACCAAAGCGACGAUCCGUAGCUGGUCUGCGAAGAUGAUUAGGCACAGUGGGACUGAAGCCAGGUACCGAAUGCUAAGGGAAGGCGGCAGGGGGAAGAAUGGACAAAGGGGGGAAAGCCUGUUCAGACCUAACGGGAGGGUGAAAAAAGACCUCGGGGUUGUAAGCCCUUUUGUUGGGAAAGAAAAGCAGCAGGUUAAUACCCCGCUGUUCUGACGGUACCCAAAGAAUAAGCACCGGCUAACUUCGUG